CCUUUAGCUCAGUUGGUAGAGCAGCUGACUCUUAAUCAGCGGGUCCCGGGUUCGAGUCCCUGAAGG
rnacentral:tRNA from 2 species